GGCUGCUGUGGGCGGUGGGUGGGUCUGAGGGGCUGGCGGGCUGGCGUCUUGGGUCCAGGCCGGGGAUCUGACCCGUGGUUGCUGUCCCCGGAACCCACAGCGCGGCCCGUCUUGUGCUCGCCAUGAGGCCGCAGCAGGCGCCGGUGUUCGGGAAGGUAUUCAUUCAGCGAGACUACAGCAGUGGCACACGCUGUCAGUUCCAGACCAAGUUCCCCGCGGAGCUGGAAAACCGGAUUGAUAGGCAGCAGUUUGAAGAAACAGUUCGAACUCUAAAUAACCUUUAUGCAGAAGCAGAGAAGCUUGGGGGUCAGUCAUAUCUUGAAGGUUGUUUGGCUUGUUUAACAGCAUACACCAUCUUCUUAUGCAUGGAAACUCAUUAUGAGAAGGUUCUGAGGAAAGUCUCCAAAUACAUUCAGGAGCAGAAUGAGAAGAUAUAUGCUCCCCAAGGCCUCCUCCUGACAGAUCCCAUUGAGAGAGGACUUCGAGUUGUAUCUUUUUAGUCCAGAUCUAAAUGUCUAUAAAAAGAAAAUCCAUGCUGUUUAGAUCGAAAUUACCAUUUAUGAAGACAGAGGGAUGAGCAGUGGAAGAUAAACCAUGGAAUUAAAGAUCCCAGCUCCAGCUGGGAACCUCAUCUCUCCACUGGCUGAUCGCAGAGCGUCCCCUACCUCCUCUACAGAGCGUCAUUCCUUUAUAUCUGCUGCCAGAGCCACGGUGCCAUUUACUCCAAGGACUAACUUUCUAAAAUUCCACACCUGGAGUGACCGCUAGUCGCUCAGCAUCCACUUUUUGUCUCCAAAUUCUGUAGGACUCUGUAAUCUUUUCAUUAGUUUCUGAGAAAACACAAUGAAGCAUUUCACUUUUUUUAUUCAGAGCCAUUAAUGAAAUAUGCAGGUGGUCAGCCCAACGCUAAGUUUAUUUCUUAUCUGCCACCAGUACUAAUGGUUCUCUUCAUCCCUUGGGCCAGCUUCCCAGGUGGCUAUAGACCUCAAAGUCAUGUCUUAGCCAGUGUUCAGUCUCAUUCCCCCAAAUUAAUAAAAUGCUUUUCUUCAGGAUUUUAGUAUAGGGUAGGCUGUGUCUGUGGUGUUGCUAAUGCAUCUCCCAGAUUUCAAAGAACUAUCAGUUUUGCCAUGACUCAAAUCUUAAAGAUCUAUUUCUGUUGUUAAGUUUCUCAAACUGAAGUUCAUUGGAAAAAUAAUGUGUUCUUUGUUUUAUUAUAGCAAUUAUUUCUAAUAAAGCAGUAUUUAAUACAGUUUCCAGUAUUUUUCUUUGAAGAAUUUUGUUAUCGUUACAUUACAUUGAAUGUUGGGAAGAUGUGUUGCUUGUUCCUUAUAUAAAUAAGUAAGCACAAUACAGUGGAUGCUAAACCAUCAAACACAUAAAUGCUCCUGGAAGUGUAAUAAGCAAGUGUAAUAAAUAUUUUAAUUAUAGUUUUGUUAUAAAUAUAACUUAUGAGAAAAAAAAUUUGAUAGGAAUAAUACUGUAUAUUACUAAUUUUUAACUAUCCCUACUGGCAAAUCUAAUGAUUCAUAGACUUUCCUUAUAUACAGUAUUCAUUGCACAGAAAUCUUAGGAUACAGUAAGUUAAGUGAUUUCCAACUAAAACUCUCAAGUCUGAGUCAAUAUUUCCAGUUCUUUUGGCUGUAUGUUUUUAGCAUUGGGCUUCUCAUGGCUUUCAUCCACCUUUGAGGUUUGAGAGCACCAUAGUUGGGAGAGAGUUAAAUGUAUUAGGAGAGAAUGACAUAGCAACAGUUAGUUUCAGAGAUAUUGUAGGUGCUAAUACUGGAUUUACUCUUUCAGAUUUAAUUUCUUUUAUGGGUCUGUUAGUUUCUGAAUAAAUCCCACAGGUCUGUGUUAUAUUUUAAUUAUAUAAAACACCUUUGUUACUUUAUAGGCUAUAUUAAUGUUUGUCUGCCUUUUAAACCCGUUGCAAUGCAAUAACUUUGCUGAAAUAUUAACACAUUAGUAAAACUUUUCUUAAACAAA